rnacentral:misc_RNA from 1 species
GAAAGCGCGAAACGUAGUGUGAAUUGCAGAAUUCAGUGAAUCAUCGAAUCUUUGAACGCACCUUGCGCUCCUUGGCAUUCCGAGGAGCAUGCCUGUUUGAGUGUCGUGGAAUAGACCGGUCGGCCUCUCCCUUUGGCCCGGGAGUCGUCGGAUUUUGGACGUUGUCGUUCUUGAAACGGCUCGUCUCGAAAUGCAUUUGGUCCCUUUUUUGUCUCGAGACGAAAACGCGAGCGUGAUAAGAGUUUCAAAAACUCGCUCCGUGCUUGUUGUUGAAAAAGAGACGAGAGUGGGGCUUUUACAGUUGUGUUGUGUGUGUCGGCAGACGUGUCGACCCGCAGGACGACAACAAAAGUGAUCUCGACCUCAAAUCAAGUAGGACUACCCGCUGAAUUUAA